rnacentral:snoRNA from 1 species
GUCGACGUACUUCAUAGGAUCAUUUCUAUAGUAAUCGUCACUCUUUGACUCUUCAAAAGAGCCACUGAAUCCAACUUGGUUGAUGAGUGACAUAACCUUCGUACCCAAGAGUGAGAAAUUUGAAUUUUUUAAUAGCUUGGUCCGUAAUCCUUAGCGAUUCGGCCAUCUAAGAAGAAGUUUAUGCUUUGCCAAUUGCAUGUUGAAUUUAUUCGACGACUAAUUGGCGCGAUGAUCUUGGCCCAUUCUGUGUACUUUUAGCUAAGGGAUAGAAUUUUUGGGCGGGUAUGAAUGGCAGUCUGACAAGU